CUUUGUGUACAAGCUCCCAAGUGCACUGGCAGCGAAACAAUAAAGCUUUAGUAAUUCUCUGUUGCAGUUCAAGGAGUAUGAGGAGAAAAGGUGAAGGAGGAGAAGACAGCACUAGAUCCAAUGAAGAAGGAGAUGCCACCAAAACAAUGAGAGGGAAAGUUACUCUGUGGAAAAAGACAGUCACUGAGACCAAAGCAAGACCUAACACCUGAAUGGGGCUCCUGUGUAUUCCUUUCCUAUGAAU